UACCUUUUGCAUCAUGAUUUAGCCAGAAAAUCUCAAGCAAAGAGCACUUUAGUUUGAUUCCCCGAAACUACGUGAGCUACUCCAAGACAGCCUAACAUAGGGCAAACCCGUCUCUGUGGCAAAAGAGUGGGAAGAGCUUUGAGUAGAGGUGACAGACCUACCGAACCUAGUUAUAGCUGGUUGCCUGAGAAAUGAAUAGAAGUUCAGCCUAUCGGAUUCUUCCCUCACCUUUAUASUUUUUACAACAACCAAAAGAAACCGAAAGAGUUAGUCAAAGGGGGUACAGCCCCUUUGACACAAGACACAACUUUUCCAGGAGGGUAAAGAUCAUACUCAAACACCAAGGUAAGAUGAUUUGGUGGGCCUAAAAGCAGCCACCCCUACAGAAUGCGUUAAAGCUCAAACAUACCUACCACCCAUAAUCCUGACAACCCUAUCUUAACCCCCUAACCCUACCAGGCCAUCCCAUGCAAACAUGGGAGUGACCAUGCUAAUAUGAGUAAUAAGAGAGCAUUAGCCUCUCUCCCUGCACAAGU
rnacentral:rRNA from 1 species